AGUGCUCUUAACCGCUGAGUCCUCUCUCCAGCCCAUCCUUUUCUUUUUUUUUUUUUAUAAAACACAACCAAUGUGUUUGCAUCUCUGGAUUGUGAUAGUUCUGAUGGGCUACAUAACGAUACCAACCGAGAAAUAAGGAACAAGAUAGAAAUCCAAGAUGGCGGAGCUCAGGUGAAAUUAGUGGUUGUUCUGGGCUCUGGAUAGGACAGAGGGUGACAGCAAUUUCUUGUUGUUGAAGGUAACAUGUCCCAAAGUCCCCCAGUGGGUGUCUGAAGGCAUUGACAGUGCUGAUUUUGUAUAUACCAUGUCUUACCUGUAUAUACUAUUUGUUUGUAUUGCCUGUAUAUACUGCUACGGUUUUAGGAUAUGAACUGCUUCCCCCACCCCCAAGUCUCUAAUGUUGAAGCUUUGGUCAUCAAUUUAAUGAUCACAGGUGGGGUUGCCCUAAUCAGUGUAUUAAUCCAUUGACAGUAGAAAAUCUUAACAGAUUAUCAUUGUAUGUAUGGACAUUUGUUCACGUGAAUGCUGUGGUACUCACGUGUAGGUCAAGACAGAUUUCAGCAGUCAGUUUUCUCCUCCCACCUCCAGCUGGGUUCUUGAGGGUUGAAUUAGAGUUCCAGGCUUGCUUUACCCACUGAGUUGCCUCUCUGGUCUUGGAUUUUAUUUUAUUUUUGAGACAAGAUCUUAUGUAUCCCAGUCUGGCCUGGAACAACUCAUCUUCCUGUCUCUACCUCUUGAGUGUUAGGAUCAUAGGGUGUACCACCAUUCCUGGUUUGUGUGCUGAGAUUCAGGGCUUCAGGAGUGGUAGGUAAACACUCUACCAAUAAGCCACUUGCCCCGAGUUAUUGGUUGAUGGAUUCUUAAUCUGAGGCAGCAGUAACAGGAAGUGGCAACUAGGGGGUGGGGCAUACUUGGGAAUGGCAACAAGUGGGUGGGGCUGAGUUGGGAAGUGGUAAUGUGCUUGCCUUUGAAGGCCGUAUUUAUCACUGGCCUUGUCUCUGGCCUCCAAAAAGUGAGCAGCUGUCUCUGUUCAACCCUCUCACGGACCCACAUUUCAUCUCAGCAAAGGUUCACAGCCUCCCCUCGGUCCUACAGUCAUGACAUUCUGUGGCACCACAGGCCCUUUGCAGUGCAGCUGGCCAAGGAUGGAUUGAAAUCUACGAAGCGGUGGGGCAAAGCAGCUUCUUUCCCUAAGCUGUAUUUCUCCAUGUUUUGCCAUAAAAAUGAAAAAAGAAGAAAGCAGAGAAACAACAACAACAAUACCCAAACCCAAAAUUGUAUGAAUGUGGUCUGUUUCUCUCAAAAUAACUUCUACACUUGCCUUCUCAUAAAUAAAGCACACGACACGUUCUCUGUUAUUUCGCCA
ensembl:lincRNA